AUUGAACGCUGGCGGCAUGCCUUACACAUGCAAGUCGAACGGGCAGCGGACCUUCGGGUGCCGGCGAGUGGCGAACGGGUGAGUAAUAUAUCGGAACGUACCUUUCAGUGGGGGAUAACGUAGCGGAAAGUUACGCUAAUACCGCAUAUUCUGUGAGCAGGAAAGCAGGGGAUCGCAAGACCUUGCGCUGAUUGAGCGGCCGAUAUCAGAUUAGCUAGUUGGUGAGGUAAAGGCUCACCAAGGCGACGAUCUGUAGCGGGUCUGAGAGGAUGAUCCGCCACACUGGAACUGAGACACGGUCCAGACUCCUACGGGAGGCGAGCAGUGGGGAAUUUUGGACGAAUGGGCGCAAGCCUGAUCCAGCCAUGCCGCGUGAGUGAAGAAGGCCUCGGUUGUAAG
rnacentral:rRNA from 1 species